rnacentral:rRNA from 1 species
AGAGUUUGAUCAUGGCUCAGAUUGAACGCUGGCGGCAUGCCUUACACAUGCAAGUCGAACGCGAAAGCGGGGCAACCCGCAAGUAGAGUGGCGAACGGGUGAGUAAUACAUCGGAACGUGUCCAGUAGCGGGGGAUAACCUCUCGAAAGAGAGGCUAAUACCGCAUACGACCUACGGGUGAAAGAGGGGGAUCGCAAGACCUCUCACUAUUGGAGCGGCCGAUGUCGGAUUAGCUAGUUGGUGGGGUAAAAGCCUACCAAGGCGACGAUCCGUAGCUGGUCUGAGAGGACGGCCAGCCACACUGGAACUGAGACACGGUCCAGACUCCUACGGGGGGCAGCAGUGGGGAAUUUUGGACAAUGGGCGCAAGCCUGAUCCAGCCAUGCCGCGUGAGUGAAGAAGGCCUUCGGGUUGUAAAGCUCUUUCGGCGGGGACGAAACGGUCCGUGUUAACACCACGGACUACUGACGGUACCCGCAGAAGAAGCACCGGCUAACUACGUGCCAGCAGCCGCGGUAAUACGUAGGGUGCAGGCGUUAAUCGGAAUUACUGGGCGUAAAGCGUGCGCAGGCGGUUUGCUAAGACAGGUGUGAAAUCCCCGGGCUUAACCUGGGAACUGCGCUUGUAACUGGCAAGCUUGAGUGCGGCAGAGGGGGGUGGAAUUCCACGUGUAGCAGUGAAAUGCGUAGAGAUGUGGAGGAACACCGAUGGCGAAGGCAGCCCCCUGGGUCGACACUGACGCUCAUGCACGAAAGCGUGGGGAGCAAACAGGAUUAGAUACCCUAGUAGUCC